rnacentral:rRNA from 1 species
UAGUCAUAUGCUUGUCUCAAAGAUUAAGCCAUGCAUGUCUAGGUACAAGCUUGUAUCAAGCGAAACUGCGGAUGGCUCAUUAAAUCAGUCAUGGUUCCUUGGAACGAGUUGCCCUACAUGGAUAACUGUGGUAAUUCUAGAGCUAAUACAUGCUACCCAGCGCCGACCGUAAGGAAGGCGUGCUUUUAUUAGGAACAAGGCCAACCGGGCUCGUCCCGUUAUGUUGGUGAACUCUGGAUAACUUAGCAGAUCGCACGGUCUUCGAACCGGCGACAGAUCCUUCAAACGUCUGCCCUAUCAACUUUCGAUGGUACGUUAUGCGCCUACCAUGGUCGUAACGGGUAACGGAGAAUCAGGGUUCGAUUCCGGAGAGGGAGCCUGAGAAAUGGCUACCACAUCCAAGGAAGGCAGCAGGCGCGCAAAUUACCCACUCUCGACACGGGUAGGUAGUGACGAAAAAUAACAAUACAGGACUCUUUCGAGGCUCUGUAAUUGGUGGGAWYUYYMGCCMSMMCCCCSGAUUAUCWCRCCCSAKRRKGWUKWWWMRCUCRCRAGMUMAAAGU